UGCUUUGAUUAAACGUGGAGUAGUUGAGGCAUAAUUUCAUGCAUUUUGAAUUGCUUUGAAAGAGAGUUGGAAUGUCUUCGCUUCUACUAAGUCUUAGGAUUCUUGUGACAUCAUAUUUGUUUACUAAAACCCUACCCGAUUGAUCCUUAUAUCCCUAACAUGGGAUAUGCAUCAUUUUGAAAAAAAAUUCAAAGGCCCUUCCCCUUGGGAAAAAAAAAGAAAGAAUAGCAAAAAAAAAGGAAAUUACAUCUACUCCGCUGGUUUAGGUCACUUAGUAACUGGGUAACUUCAUCACAAAUGUUGUUAUUCACGUAAAACGGUGGCCGGAGCUAUGAGUAUGCAAAGCACUUUAGGUAAAAUGUGUUUUGGUUAAGUAACCGGGUGCCUUCAUCACAAGUGUUGUCAUUCGCGUCAAAAGGCCAGAAUAAGACGUUUUUUGGUUGAGUAACCGGGUGCCUGCACCACAAGUGUUGUCAUUCGCGUCAAAAGACCGAAAGACGGCCUAAAGAACACAAGUCACGGGAAGAAAUGAAGGAAAAAAAAAGAGAAAAGAGCCGUGACAAAAUACAAGGGGAAGAAAAAAGAAAAAAUUCAUUAUUGGCCCAAAGAAAAGAAAGAAAAGCGAAAUCCGUCCCUACUUAGGUAGAUAUAAGGAGAUAAAGGGUAUUGUGCUAGCAUCGAGGAUGAUAACAUUUAGAAACCUGUAGAUUUUGUGGAAGCUUGAUUGUCCUGCUCUCUACCUGGGAAAACAAAGUGCGGUGAUGUGAUUGGCCUCUUACCCUCGUUAUGAUAAGUUAGCAUUUGUAUAACGUAUUGCUGCAUUGUGUUUUGAGAUUAUGUGCACAUAAUAUUUCGUUUUGUUUGGGGGGCUAUAACUUUAAAGACGUUACAACAAUCCUUUCUUUCUUUUUUGAUUUAUUAAAAAAAUUGUCACAUUUAUUUCUUGGUGCUAUAUGAAAUUUUUUCUGUAUAAAAAUCAUUUAUUUAGAGAAUGCCUUUUCUUAUGUGACUAUUAUUUUUGGUUAGUAGGAGAUAGAUUUUUGCCUUGAUAUUAUUUUACCAAUAUAACUGAAAAUAAUUAUUGUAACGACAUUUAAAUUUUAUAUUAUUAUAGUUCUCUUUAUUUAUAUGAAUUAUUUCUUUUAGAUUGCCAUCUCAGCAGGUUCAAGAUCAGUAUACAGCGGUGAUGCUUCUUACAUGGGCUCCCCCACCUACCCCCACCCCCACCCCCCAACUGUAAAACUUAGAAGGAAAAUGUACAGGUUGUGCUUGAAUAUAAAGAGUUAAAGAAAUCUUUCAUGCUGGAUAUAGAGAAGUAUCAUAACUUUUUAACUUUACUGACCCAUGAAUACAGUUUAUCCAGGUAUAUGAGGUCGUGAAUCAUUGUUAACUAACAAUUGAAAAUAAAAUCAGAUUCCUUUUUUGUCUUUCAUUUUUCUUUUAACUCUUCUAAUGAAGUUCAUGAGAUAAUUUUAUUUCAGUUACAUUUGUACACUUAGUGAGAAGACCAUGGUGAUGUCGCGGGAAGUGCUUCUUAGUGUUGGUGUUCCAUGGUGCAGCAAUACAUCCGCCAUCUAGAGGCUCAACUUCAGGAAGAGAUGUCACGGCAUGCUCCUCUAUAUGGUGCUGGGCUGGAAGCUUUGUCAAUGAAGGAGCUCGAGACGAUAUCACGUAUCCAUGAAGAAGGGCUGAGGCAGAUACAUGCGAUACAACAGCGUAAAGGAAGUCCAGCUGGGAGUCCAUUUGUAAGUUCCACAACCUACCUGACACACAUGGGUUGUAUCCACCUACUCCGCCUCCAAUGGCUGUUGGAUUGCCUCCUCCGCUUAUCCCAAAUGGUGUUGGGAUCCAUAGAAAUGGGCAUGUUAAUGGUGGUGCCAGCCCCUGGUUCAAUCGUUAGAACGAUGUCCCUGAUGUGAGCUGAUAUUGUCUUCGAGUUUGUGACACUCACUAAUCUCUUUGAUCAGGAUUCUGGAUUUCUAGUCCAGGAUACUGUUAUCUUCUCUGCUGAGGUUCUUAUAUUGAAAGAAACUUCCAUAAUGCAGGACUUCACUGAUCAAGAAACUGACUCAGGAACUGCCUGUUCUCAGUCGGAUGGAAUUGGGAAGAGGAGCUCAUUCACCUGGAAAGUGGAAUUUCUUGUCCUUCAAGGAAAUAAUGGAAACUAGAAAAUUUUUUCGCAAAUUCUUUCAAGCUGGUGGAUGUGAGCUUCGGAUUGGAGUGUAUGAGUCUUUUGACACCAUAUGUAUAUAUUUGGAGAGUGAUCAGUCAGUUGGCAGUGAUCCCGAGAAGACCUGGAACAAUUCUGUUAUUCAGUUUAUGAAGGUAUCUGACAUGUUGGAAGCUGAUGCAGGAUUUCUGCUGCGAGACACAGUUGUAUUUGUUUGUGAGAUCUUGGACUACUGUCCAUGGUUCGAGUUUUCAGACCUGGAGGUUUUAGCUUCUGAAGAUGAUCAAGACGGCCUGACAACUGACCCUGACGAACUCAUUUAUUCUGAUGACAGUGAAGAUCUAAGUGGAGAUGAAAAAGACAUCUUCAGAAAUCUUCUAUCUGGGGCCGGGUUUCACCUUACUUAUGAGGACAAGAACAUAUAGUAAAAACUGGCUGCGGUUCUGUCUCUGUUGCUGUUUUCGGUGAUCAGGAACGAGCUCCAAUUACUUGUCCUGAUUUGGCUUUAAACUGUAAGGGAACUAGAACUGAAUUUUCACCAAGUAUAUCGUCAAUUUUAAUCAAACUUCUUCUGUUUUAUACCUGUGAGGAUUUCGUGGACACUUGUUAGUCUGCUAUCAGCCUUUUUGCACGUUAUCCCAACUUCACCAAAAUUUUAUUAUAUCAUCUUUUCACUAACCCAUUUAAAAGCUCCCUUUUUGUUUUAAAUUUUGUAUUGAACAUAUCUUCAUCAGAAAUAAUUAUCUAGUCUACCUUCUCGAGGCUCAUACUAGUCUUUGAAAAUGUAUUUGUCUCUCUUGAAGCAGUAUCUACUUGCUUAAUUAAUUUUUUUAGCAAUGGCAAUGCAGAUAAGGUAGGCUGGUGGAGCUCAUGGCUCUUGCCUCGCAUGUGCACCCCUUGAUAGCGGCAACCACAGCUCUACAUGGCUGUCAUUUUCUGAUUAUUGUUUGAGAGGUUUGGUAAGAAAAAAACAUAGUCCUUCUGAUAGCCAAUAUCUGCAGAUCAGAUUCGCUGUAUGUGCCAAAGCAUGUGUGCUGGGUCAAACCUCGAAUAUGAUUCUUCAUUUGAUUCGAGCACUGAGCGAAAGAAAGUGAGAGUAUCCUGCAGUUGUUGCUGGCCAGCCCAUGUUCCACUUUCUGGGAGUGCUGAGACGGUAGCAUCCCUGUGAUCCAUGUGAUCAUGGCAGCAGUGGCAAGACAUUCCUAUGGUGGAGGACAAGAUAAGGAUCCAGAUGCUUCGAUCCGUAAAAGGGCCCUCAAGCUUGUUUAUCUUCUAGUAAAUGAAAGCAAUGUGAAGCCUUUGACAAAGGAGCUUGUUGAUUAUCUAGAAGUAAGUGUACCGGAAUUUAAGGGAGACCUCACGGCCAAAAUUUGCUCAAUUGUGGAGAAGUCGAAUGAUCCAUAGUUUGUCUAUAAGGGAAUGAAAACACAGUUGCUGAACUGAGGAUGGUAACCUUCCAGUGACGGUCAAACACGGAUUUACUUUGCAUGGUGAGAACAUCUACAUUCUAAUGUAGCUCUUUUCCAUUCCUACUUCAACCUUAGGAAAGAAACAUGAUUAAUAAACAAACUUGUUUUUUCAUUAAUUUGUGUUCUUUACUAACCAUUCAUUUCGUUUUGCUUACAGCCUAUUGCCAAGAAGCGAAUGAAGUUCAUUCCAUUGGUUACAGCACUCAGUUGUUUUAAAUUUAUGAGAUGAGCUUCUGAUUGAUAAUU